rnacentral:tRNA from 1 species
GGUUGUAGUUCAGAGGUAGAGCACUCGCCUUACACACGAGAGGCACUGGGUUCAAUCCUCAGCACCA